rnacentral:tRNA from 1 species
UGCGGGGUGGAGCAGCCAGGUAGCUCGUCGGGCUCAUAACCCGAAGGUCUCCAGUUCGAAUCUGGACCCCGCUACCA